rnacentral:rRNA from 1 species
AGCUUGACACUGAACAUUGAGCCUUGAUGUGUAGGAUAGGUGGGAGGCUUUGAAGCGUGGACGCCAGUCUGCGUGGAGCCGACCUUGAAAUACCACCCUUUAAUGUUUGAUGUUCUAACGUGGACCCGUAAUCCGGGUUGCGGACAGUGUCUGGUGGGUAGUUUGACUGGGGCGGUCUCCUCCUAAAGAGUAACGGAGGAGCACGAAGGUUGGCUAAUCCUGGUCGGACAUCAGGAGGUUAGUGCAAUGGCAUAAGCCAGCUUGACUGCGAGCGUGACGGCGCGAGCAGGUGCGAAAGCAGGUCAUAGUGAUCCGGUGGUUCUGAAUGGAAGGGCCAUCGCUCAACGGAUAAAAGGUACUCCGGGGAUAACAGGCUGAUACCGCCCAAGAGUUCAUAUCGACGGCGGUGUUUGGCACCUCGAUGUCGGCUCAUCACAUCCUGGGGCUGAAGUAGGUCCCAAGGGUAUGGCUGUUCGCCAUUUAAAGUGGUACGCGAGCUGGGUUUAGAACGUCGUGAGACAGUUCGGUCCCUAUCUGCCGUGGGCGCUGGAGAACUGAGGGGGGCUGCUCCUAGUACGAGAGGACCGGAGUGGACGCAUCACUGGUGUUCGGGUUGUCAUGCCAAUGGCACUGCCCGGUAGCUAAAUGCGGAAGAGAUAAGUGCUGAAAGCAUCUAAGCACGAAACUUGCCCCGAGAUGAGUUCUCCCUGAGACUUAGAGUCUCCUGAAGGAACGUUGAAGACGACGACGUUGAUAGGCCGGGUGUGUAAGCGCAGCGAUGCGUUGAGCUAACCGGUACUAAUGAACCGUGAGGCUUAACCUUACAACGCCGAAG